rnacentral:rRNA from 1 species
UACGAAGGGGGCUAGCGUUGUUCGGAAUCACUGGGCGUAAAGGGCGCGUAGACGGCUUUGUAAGUCGGGGGGUGAAAGCCUGUGGCUCAACCACAGAAUUGCCUUCGAUACUGCAUGGCUUGAGACCGGAAGAGGUAAGUGGAACUGCGAGUGUAGAGGUGAAAUUCGUAGAUAUUCGCAAGAACACCAGUGGCGAAGGCGGCUUACUGGUCCGGUUCUGAUGCUGAGGCGCGAAAGCGUGGGGAGCAAACAGG